CCUACGGGUGGCAGCAGUGGGGAAUAUUGGACAAUGGGGGGAACCCUGAUCCAGCGACGCCGCGUGAGUGAUGACGUAUUUCGGUAUGUAAAGCUUUAUCAGCAGGGAAGAAAGAAAUGACGGUACCUGACUAAGAAGCCCCGGCUAACUACGUGACAGCAGCCGCGGUAUUACGUAGGGGGCAAGCGUUAUCAGGAUUUACUGGGUGUAAAGGGAGCGUAGACGGCUAUGCAAGUCUGAAGUGAAAGGGGGGGGCCCAACCCCCGGACUGCUUUGGAAACUGUAUGGCUGGAGUGCAGGGGAGGUAAGGGGAAUUCCUGGUGUAGCGGUGAAAUGCGUAGAUAUUAGGAGGAACACCAGUGGCGAAGGCGGCUUACUAGACUGUAACUGACGUUGAUGCUCGAAAGCGUGGGGAGCAAACAGGAUUAGAUACCCCUGUAGUC
rnacentral:rRNA from 1 species